GAUGAACGCUGGCGGCGUGCCUAAUACAUGCAAGUCGAGCGAACAGACGAGGAGCUUGCUCCUCUGACGUUAGCGGCGGACGGGUGAGUAACACGUGGAUAACCUACCUAUAAGACUGGGAUAACUUCGGGAAACCGGAGCUAAUACCGGAUAAUAUAUUGAACCGCAUGGUUCAAUAGUGAAAGACGGUUUUGCUGUCACUUAUAGAUGGAUCCGCGCCGCAUUAGCUAGUUGGUAAGGUAACGGCUUACCAAGGCAACGAUGCGUAGCCGACCUGAGAGGGUGAUCGGCCACACUGGAACUGAGACACGGUCCAGACUCCUACGGGAGGCAGCAGUAGGGAAUCUUCCGCAAUGGGCGAAAGCCUGAAGAAGCAACGCCGCGUGAGUGAUGAAGGUCUUCGGAUCGUAAAACUCUGUUAUUAGGGAAGAACAAAUGUGUAAGUAACUAUGCACGUCUUGACGGUACCUAAUCAGAAAGCCACGGCUAACUACGUG
rnacentral:rRNA from 1 species